CUGGCUCAGGAUGAACGCUGGCGGCGUGCCUAACACAUGCAAGGUCGAACGGAGAUUUAACGCUGAUGAGGCUUCGGCGGAAUCUGUUAAAUCUUAGUGGCGGACGGGUGAGUAACGCGUGGGCAACCUGCCUCGUACUGGGGGAUAACAGUUGGAAACGACUGUUAAUACCGCAUAAGCGCACGGUAUCGCAUGAUACAGUGUGAAAAACUCCGGUGGUACGAGAUGGGCCCGCGUCAGAUUAGCCAGUUGGCGGGGUAACGGCCCACCAAAGCGACGAUCUGUAGCCGGACUGAGAGGUCGGACGGCCACAUUGGGACUGAGACACGGCCCAAACUCCUACGGGAGGCAGCAGUGGGGGAUAUUGCACAAUGGGCGAAAGCCUGAUGCAGCGAACCGCCGCGUGAGUGAAGAAGUAUUUCGGUAUGUAAAGCUCUAUCAGCAGGGAAGAAAGGCCCUUCGGGGAGAUGACGGUACCUGACUAAGAAGCCCCGGCUAACUACGUGCCAGCCGCGGC
rnacentral:rRNA from 1 species